rnacentral:rRNA from 1 species
GACGAACGCUGGCGGCGUGCUUAACACAUGCAAGUCGAACGGAAAGGCCCUGCUUUUGUGGGGUGCUCGAGUGGCGAACGGGUGAGUAACACGUGAGUAACCUGCCCUUGACUUUGGGAUAACUUCAGGAAACUGGGGCUAAUACCGGAUAGGAGCUCCUGCUGCAUGGUGGGGGUUGGAAAGUUUCGGCGGUUGGGGAUGGACUCGCGGCUUAUCAGCUUGUUGGUGGGGUAGUGGCUUACCAAGGCUUUGACGGGUAGCCGGCCUGAGAGGGUGACCGGCCACAUUGGGACUGAGAUAGGGCCCAGACUCCUACGGGAGGCAGCAGUGGGGAAUAUUGCACAAUGGGCGGAAGCCUGAUGCAGCAACGCCGCGUGCGGGAUGACGGCCGUCGGGUUGUAAACCGCUUUCGCCUGUGACGAAGCGUGAGUGACGGUAAUGGGUAAAGAAGCACCGGCUAACUACGUG